rnacentral:rRNA from 1 species
GACGAACGCUGGCGGCGUGCUUAACACAUGCAAGUCGAACGGAAAGGCCCUGCUUUUGUGGGGUGCUCGAGUGGCGAACGGGUGAGUAACACGUGAGUAACCUGCCCUUGACUUUGGGAUAACUUCAGGAAACUGGGGCUAAUACCGGAUAGGAGCUCCUGCUGCAUGGUGGGGGUUGGAAAGUUUCGGCGGUUGGGGAUGGACUCGCGGCUUAUCAGCUUGUUGGUGGGGUAGUGGCUUACCAAGGCUUUGACGGGUAGCCGGCCUGAGAGGGUGACCGGCCACAUUGGGCCUGAGAUACGGCCCAGACGCCUACGGGAGGCAGGAGUGGGGAAUAUUGCACAAUGGGCGGAAGCCUGAUGCAGCAACGCCGCGUGCGGGAUGACGGCCUUCGGGUUGUAAACCGCUUUCGCCUGUGACGAAGCGUGAGUGACGGUAAUGGGUAAAGAAGCACCGGCUAACUACGU